UCCCAGGAUCCAUCUUACCCGACAGUGCUGGAUUGUACGUCUGUUGUUCUAACACUGUCUGGUAACGAUGUUUCCUGGGUGGC
ensembl:miRNA